AUUCUAUCUUUCUCCCUCAUUUUCUUUCUUUUUAUUUUUUUUUUUUUUUUUCAGAAUUUGAAGAAACGCGAAUAAUAUGAUUUCCUUAUAAUUUAGUGAUUUUAUUUUCUUUCUUUUUGUAGCAUAAGAAAAGAGAAAAUACGAGUGGAUAUCAGAAAAUGAACGUGGGCCACGAUACGUUCGAUUUUUAACAUGUUUGACAAGGCUAAUGCAUUUUACCCAAGUUAACUCAAGCCUCAUGAAUUUUUUCUUUUGAAGAAAAUUACAGUUGGCUUGGUAGAUGACUUGUGAAAGCGAUUAAUUCAAAGAAGAAAAUGCCGAACGAUCGGAACAAGCGCGUCUGAAUGUUUCUUUCAUGAACUAUAACUUAAGAUUCUUAACGAAUUUUUCUGUGAGCUUCGUUGAUUCAUGAUAAAAAAAAAAGAGAAAGAAAAAAGUAAUAAAAAAGAAAAUAGAAAGUAAAAUCGCGGGGGAAGAAAGAAAAGUAACCUUUCCACUUCGUCGCGUAUCGUCAAAACUACAAAUAUCUAGAAGGAAAUAAGAGAGAAAAUGGUAAAAUAAAUAACAAAAGUAAAGAAAAGCAAUUUAGUUAUUCCUAAUAUCCUUUCAAAUUUAUUCACAUAUAUAUAUAUAAUACCUAGCGUCAUUGAGAAGAUGAUGCAAGCGCGCGCGCGUUCCCAUUAUAUUUCCGUUUCACUAAAUUCGCUAGUUGCAUCGAUGAACUUUGCUUGGAAUCGUGUGACAAUGCAUAAGCAUGUGUGUCAUGUGUCGCGAAUAAACGUGUUUGAUCGGUUAUGCGUAGGAAAUGAAUAAUUUCGGUCACUCGAUGCUGGAACGUAGCCGAUUUUCUGAUGAGUUAGUAAAGCUCUCUCGGUUUUCUUAUUUCCUCUCAAUGAUGAGAAAUAGAAAGAAAUAUAUGUAUAUGUAUGUAUAUAUGUAUAUAUAUAUACAUAUGUAUAUAUAAAUAGAGAAGGGGACAAUUACCGAUAAUCGUGCAGACAGGACAGCGAGUGUGUAAGAGUAAAAAUAAGAGAGAAAGAGAGAGAGAGAGAGAGAUAGGGAGAUAAAGAGAGAAAGAGAGAAAAGAUAAUGCGCGGUAACGACGCGCAUGCUUCCCGCGCAAAUCGUGAACCCACGUACUACCUCCCCCUUCUCUUUAUCGUCCCUACCCCCACGAGAAAUCUCUGCGAAACCAGAACACCCCGGCCAGUAUUCGACAUCGCGGCAAACACGAGGUGUUUGACAACGUUCGUCGUCUCAUACACUAUUUAACUAAAAGUGAAAACGAGGAGAGGAACCAUCGUUUGUGAUCAUCGUACAAUACAUAGAACUAAAAACAAUAUAUUAUUAAAAUUGACACGCGGAA